rnacentral:rRNA from 1 species
GUUUGGGAUAGGCGGGCGGGGCGGGUGCCAUAUCAAUAAGCGGAGGAAAAGGGCGGGCGAGUCGAGUUGUUUGGGAAUAGGCGGGCGGGGCGGGUGCCAUAUCAAUAAGCGGAGGAAAAGGGCGGGCGAGUCGAU